rnacentral:rRNA from 1 species
GACAGAGGGGGCAAGCGUUGCUCGGAAUCACUGGGCGUAAAGGGCGCGUAGGCGGGAUGACAAGUCGGUCGUGAAAUCCCUGGGCUCAACUCAGGGGGGUCGGCCGAUACUGCCAUUCUUGAGGGAUGCAGAGGAGACUGGAAUUCCCGGUGUAGCGGUGAAAUGUGUAGAGAUCGGGAGGAACACCGGUGGCGAAGGCGGAUCUCUGGGCCUUACCUGACGCUGAGGCGCGAAAGCUAGGGGAGCGAACAGG